rnacentral:rRNA from 1 species
AGAUUGAACGCUGGCGGCAGGCCUAACACAUGCAAGUCGAGCGGCAGCACGGGUACUUGUACCUGGUGGCGAGCGGCGGACGGGUGAGUAAUGCCUAGGAAUCUGCCUGGUAGUGGGGGAUAACGCUCGGAAACGGACGCUAAUACCGCAUACGUCCUACGGGAGAAAGCAGGGGACCUUCGGGCCUUGCGCUAUCAGAUGAGCCUAGGUCGGAUUAGCUAGUUGGUGAGGUAAUGGCUCACCAAGGCGACGAUCCGUAACUGGUCUGAGAGGACGACCAGCCACACUGGAACUGAGACACGGUCCAGACUCCUACGGGAGGCAGCAGUGGGAAUUUUGGACAAUGGGGGAAACCCUGAUCCAGCCAUCCCGCGUGUGCGAUGAAGGCCUGGUGUAAGCACUUUGCUAGGAAGAACGGACGUGCCCUAAUACGGACGUCGACGUGACGGUACCUGCAGAAUAAGCACG